rnacentral:rRNA from 1 species
GCCUACGGGGCGCAGCAGUGGGGAAUAUUGGGCAAUGGGCGCAAGCCUGACCCAGCAACGCCGCGUGAAGGAAGAAGGCUUUCGGGUUGUAAACUUCUUUUGACAGGGAAGAGUAGAAGACGGUACCUGUCGAAUAAGCCACGGCUAACUACGUGCCAGCAGCCGCGGUAAUACGUAGGUGGCAAGCGUUAUCCGGAUUUACUGGGUGUAAAGGGAGCGUAGACGGCAGUGCAAGUCUGGAGUGAAAGGCGGGGGCUCAACCCCCGGACUGCUCUGGAAACUGUAUGGCUGGGGUGCAGGAGAGG